rnacentral:rRNA from 1 species
AUUGAACGCUGGCGGCAUGCCUUACACAUGCAAGUCGAACGGCAGCACGGGUGCUUGCACCUGGAGGCGAGUGGCGAACGGGUGAGUAAUACAUCGGAACGUACCUUAUCGUGGGGGAUAACGCAGCGAAAGCUGUGCUAAUACCGCAUACGCCCUGAGGGGGAAAGCGGGGGAUCGAAAGACCUCGCGCGAUUAGAGCGGCCGAUGCCUGAUUAGCUUGUUGGUGGGGUAAAAGCCCACAAGGCGACGAUCAGUAGCUGGUCUGAGAGGACGAUCAGCCACACUGGGACUGAGACACGGCCCAGACUCCUACGGGAGGCAGCAGUGGGGAAUUUUGGACAAUGGGGGCAACCCUGAUCCAGCAAUGCCGCGUGAGUGAAGAAGGCCUUCGGGUUGUAAAGCUCUUUUGUCAGGGAAGAAACACCGGCUCUAACACAGUCCGGGAAUGACGGUACCUGAAGAAUAAGCACCGGCUAACUACGUGCCAGCCGCCGCAGUAA